GCUAGAAAUCAGGCGCAUUUGCUUCUAUGGCAUGUAUACUAUAAGGCAUGUAUACUAUAAGGCAUGUAUACUAUACAAUUCAUUAUUAUAAUGAUUUUGCGCCAGUAACUAUCUGCAAAGUAUUUAACAAACAGUAAAAUGGAAUCUGUUUUCCUGCUGAAAAAUACUUACAGAGCCAAAUCAAAGUGUAAAAAAAGAAAAUAUUGCGAAAGAGAAAAAUAAAAAAGAAAACCGCGAAACCACUUUGAAUAUAAGCCACAAUAGUCCAAGAAUACUCGUUGCAGAAAAAAACAACAAAAAAGAAACAAUUUUCUGCCUAAAAUAUCCUGGAUUAGGGGCUUAACGAUAAGAAACGUAGUUCUCACUCCAAAGUGGAGAAUAGGCUCGUUUCUUUAGGUUGCUAAUGCAUUGCGCGCGCGCGCGCUUUAAAAAUUGUACUAUAAGUUUAAAGUUGAAAAGACCGCCAGGGAAAAUAGAGUGUUUUCAUGUGUUGCUUUGUUGACGGACAAGUAUCUUAAAAUAACGGUUUUCUUGUUUACUUGUAUUUCGG